GCCCUACGGGGCGCAGCAGGCGCGAAAACUUUACAAUGCGGGAAACCGUGAUAAGGGGACACCGAGUGCCAGCAUCAUAUGCUGGCUGUCCAGAUGUGUAAAAUACAUCUGUUAGCAAGGGCCGGGCAAGACCGGUGCCAGCCGCCGCGGUAACACCGGCGGCCCGAGUGGUGAUCGUGAUUAUUGGGUCUAAAGGGUCCGUAGCCGGUUUGGUCAGUCCUCCGGGAAAUCUGAUGGCUCAACCAUUAGGCUUUCGGGGGAUACUGCCAGGCUUGGAACCGGGAGAGGUAAGAGGUACUACAGGGGUAGGAGUGAAAUCUUGUAAUCCCUGUGAGACCACCUGUGGCGAAGGCGUCUUACCAGAACGGGUUCGACGGUGAGGGACGAAAGCUGGGGGCACGAACCGGAUUAGAUACCCGGGUAGUCCCAGCCGUAAACGAUGCUCGCUAGGUGUCAGGCAUGGCGCGACCGUGUCUGGUGCCGCAGGGAAGCCGUGAAGCGAGCCAUCUGGGAAGUACGGCCGCAAGGCUGAAACUUAAAGGAAUUGGCGGGGGAGCACAACAACGGGUGGAGCCUGCGGUUUAAUUGGACUCAACGCCGGACAACUCACCGGGGACGACAGCAAUAUGUAGGCC
rnacentral:rRNA from 1 species